rnacentral:rRNA from 1 species
CCUACGGGUGGCUGCAGUGGGGAAUAUUGCACAAUGAGCGCAAGCCUGACCCAGCAAUGCCGCGUGAAGGAAGAAGGCUUUCGGGUUGUAAACUUCUUUGACAGGGGAAGAGCAGUAGACGGUACCCUUGAAACAAGCCACGGCUAACUACGUGCCAGCAGCCUCGGUAAUACGUAGGUGGCAAGCGUUGUCCGGAUUUUCUGGGUGUAGAGGGCGUGUAUCCGGGAUGGCAAAUCAGAUGUGAAAUCCGGAGGCUCAACCUCCGAAUUGCAUUUGAAACUGUUUUUCUUGAGUACUGGAGAGGCAGACGGAAUUCCUUGUGUAGCGGUGAAAUGCGUAGAUAUAAGGAGGAACACCAGUGGCGAAGGCGGUCUGCUGGACAGCAACUGACGGUGAGGCGCGAAAGCGUGGGGAGCAAACAGGAUUAGAUACCCGUGUAGUC